rnacentral:rRNA from 1 species
AGUCGAACGGCAGCACGGACUUCGGUCUGGUGGCGAGUGGCGAACGGGUGAGUAAUGUAUCGGAACGUGCCUAGUAGCGGGGGAUAACUACAUAGCGUAGCUAAUACCGCAUACGCCCUUCGGGGAAAGCAGGACCUUCGGGCCUCGUACUAUUAGAGCGGCCGAUAUCGGAUGACUUGGUCAAUGGAUCAACGGCUCCGCCAGGCGACGUCGUAAACUGGCAGCGACGACCAGCCACACGGGACUGAGACACGGCCCAGACUCUAGAGGCAAUUUGGAUGUUUGGUGACGUCGGGACUGAUCAGCAUAAAUCGCUGGUGUGGUGAAGGCCUUCGGUUUGUGCAGGCCUUUGGCAGAAGAAACGGCGCGGGGAUGGCCUUCCCUGAUGCAACUUGGCGGUGCGAAUGAAAGCACUGACAACUACGUUCAGCGGCUGCGAUACGUAAGUGUGCAAGCAGUUAAUCGAAUUACUGGGCGUAUCUAAGCUGGUGCGGUAGCGGUUUCGAAGAAAUCAUUUAGAAUCAGAGCUUAACUUUGGAACUGCAUUUUAACUACCGAGCUAGAGUGUCAGAGGAGGUGGAAUUCCGCGUGUAGCGGUGAAAUGCGUAGAUAUGCGGAGGAACACCGACAACGAAGGCAGCCUCCUGGGAUAACACUGACGCUCAUGCACAGCACGUGGGAGCAAACAGAGUUAGAUACCCUGGUAGUCCACCAGCGUACAAACGAUGUCAACUAGCUGUUGGGGCCUUCGGGCGCUGGUAGCGCAGCUAACGCGUGAAGUUGACCGCCUGGGAAGUACGGUCGCAAGAUUAAAACUCAAAGGGAACUGACGGGGACCCGCACAAGCGGUGGAUGAUGUGGAUUAAUUCGAUGCAACGCGAAAAACCUUACCUACCCUUGACAUGUCUGGAAUCGAGAGAUUUGGGAGUGCUCGCAGAACGGAACACAGGUGCUGCAUGGCUGUCGUCAGCUCGUGUCGUGAGAUGUUGGGUUAAGAAGUCACACCAGCAAGGCACAACCCUUGUCAUUAGUUGCUACGAAGGGCACUCUAAUGAGACUGCCGGUGACAAACCGGAGGAAGGUGAGGAUGACGUCAAGUCCUCAUGGCCCUUAUGGGUAGGGCUUCACACGUCGCUACAAUGGUCGGGACAGAGGGUCGCCAACCCCGCGAGGGGAGCCAAUCCCAGAAACCCGAUCGUAGUCCGGAUCGCAGUCUGCAACUCGACUGCGUGAAGUCCAGAUCGCUGGUAAUCGCGAGAUCAGCAUGUCGCGGUGAAUACGUUCGAAUUCUUGUACACACCGCCCGUCACACCAUGGGGUGGGUUUUACCAGAAGUAGUUAGUCUAACCGUAAGGAGGGCGAUUACCACGGUAGGAUUCAUGACUGGGGUGAAGUCGUAACAAGGUAG